CAACAUACAGCAGCUAAGAGUAUAUUUCAUCACUGCUCAGCUCAAUUUCCUCGCUUUUUUUUAAGAGCAAAAAAUGGCAUGGUUUUGGGCAAUAGCUGUACUAUUGAUUACAGUUUUUUAUGUCCUGCAAGGAAAGCUAUGGAAAAGCAAGGAAAAUACGAAGAAACUACCUCCUGGCCCGAAGGGCUUCCCUCUCUUUGGCAGCCUGCACUUGUUAGGGAAAUUCCCACAUCAUGAUUUGCAGAAGCUAGCCAAACAAUAUGGUCCAAUCAUGCAUAUGAGACUAGGCCUUAUUCCCACCGUUAUUGUUUCAUCCCCCGAAGCUGCGGAGCUGUUUCUCAAGACGCACGACCUUGUGUUUGCGACCAGACCGCCUCAUGAAGCUGCAAAGCACAUAUCUUGGGAGCAAAGGAACUUGUCGUUUGCGCCUUAUGGUUCCUACUGGCGUGACAUACGCAAGAUGUGCACUCUAGAACUGCUUAGCAGUCACAAAAUCAGCACUUUCAGUGAGAUGAGGAAGGAGGAAAUUGGGCUUUCGAUUAAGUCCAUUCGGGAGGCUGCUCUUGAUCAUGUUGCUGUUGAUCUUAGUGCCAGGAUUACGUGCUUGAACGCUGAUAUGACUUGUCGGAUGGUGUUCGGAAAGAAGUAUUCUGAUGAGGAAUUUGACGAGAGGGGUUUCAAGGCCGUUGUCCAAGAGGGAAUGCACUUGGCUGCAACUCCUAACUUGGGAGAUUACAUCCCUUUUAUCGCUCCACUUGACCUGCAGGGCUUCACUAAGCGCAUGAAGAAAGUUCGCAGGGUGUUCGAUGAGUUUUUUGAGAAGAUCAUCGAUGAGCAUAUCCAAUCCAAGGAUGAUGCUGGUAAGACCAAGGACUUUGUUGAUGUCAUGUUGAGCUUCAUGGGGUCUAAAGAGUCUGAAUACCGCAUUGAACGGACUAAUAUCAAAGCUAUAAUUCUGGACAUGGUUGCAGGCUCAAUGGACACUUCAUCAACAGCAACAGAAUGGGCAAUCUCAGAACUCAUUAAGAACCCAAGGGUACUAAAGAAAGUCCAAAAAGAGCUAGAAACCGUGGUGGGCAUGGAUAGAACGGUGGAAGAAUCGGACCUAGAAAGGUUAGAGUACUUAGACAUGGUAGUAAAGGAAACUCUGAGGCUGCAUCCAGUGGCACCAUUAUUGAUCCCUCAUGCAGCCAUGGAAGACUGCAUAGUCAACGGCUUUCACAUACCAAACAAGUCGAGAGUCAUGAUAAACGUAUAUGCGAUCGGGAGAGACCCCAACUCUUGGACUGAUCCAGAGAAGUUUUUCCCCGAAAGGUUUGUGGGGAGUAGUGUAGAUCUUAGGGGAAGAGACUUUCAGCUUAUCCCAUUUGGCUCUGGAAGAAGAGGUUGUCCUGGAAUGCAACUAGGCCUGACCGUGGUCAGGCUGCUUGUGGCGCAACUCGUACACUGCUUUGAUUGGGAACUCCCAAAUGGUAUGCUUCCCGCUGAACUGGACAUGGAAGAAGAGUUUGGUUUGACAACUCCGAGGGCCAACCAUCUUAUGGCCAUUCCCACUUGUCGCCUUCAGAAAUAUUAAUUCGUCGAAAAAUGCAAAAUAUCAUGAGUGAAUGAUGCUCACUUCUGGUUUUUUAACCAAUCAAAAGUUGUUCUCUUAGAAUGUAAACUCUUACUUUUGCGGAAAAAAAAGGAAGAAGAAGAACCAACCAAAGUGAAAGAAGGAAAAGUGUAGGAAUAGUUAGCUAAUAACCGGAUUUGAGGGUUGGCUAUCUGUGUCAUAGAAUUGAUUGUUGUCAAGAGAUAAAAGCACGUCCUAGAAUUCCUUGUUUAGAAACUCUAUUGUUGGUUAUAGAAA